UACGGAGGGUGCAAGCGUUAUCCGGAUUCACUGGGUUUAAAGGGUGCGUAGGAGGGCAGGUAAGUCAGUGGUGAAAUCCCCGAGCUUAACUUGGGAACUGCCGUUGAUACUAUCUGUCUUGAAUAUUGUGGAGGUAAGCGGAAUAUGUCAUGUAGCGGUGAAAUGCUUAGAUAUGACAUAGAACACCUAUGGCGAAGGCAGCUUACUACGCAUAUAUUGACGCUGAGGCACGAAAGCGUGGGGAGCAAACAGG
rnacentral:rRNA from 1 species